GACAAGGGGAAUUCGACUGUUUCACUAAAACAAAGCAUUACGAUGGUCCCUGCGGAUAUUUACGCAAUGUGAUUUCUGCCCAGUGCUCUGAAUGUUAAAGUGAAGAAUUCAACCAAGCGCGGGUAAACGGCGGGAGUAACUAUGACUCUCUUAAGGUAGCCAAAUGCCUCGUCAUCUAAUUAGUGACAUGCAUGAAUGGAUUAACGAGAUUCCC
rnacentral:rRNA from 1 species